GCUGGUGUAGGUGAUGAUGGAACUUUUUUCCCCGUCAGAGCGACAGUGUUGAUUUCUCACUGCUCUAGCCAGGCCUUGUCUGAUGCACCAGC
ensembl:snoRNA